AUAAACCUAUCAGUGUACCUCUCCACGUUGCUUCCGUGUGGCCAGGGGGCUUUGGCCAGCGAUGCCGGCUCCGCGGGUUUCGCCCCCCCAUUUGUUUGGGGGGUGAGUUGCCCGGCCCACGGGAGGAAUUCUCCAAACUCUUGAUUGUAAAAAGAACGUAUGCCAUAUAUAAAGAUAAAAAAAGU
rnacentral:misc_RNA from 1 species